UGCCUAUUAAUAAUCCAGACCAGUAUUUUAAACAAUAUGACAAAUUAACUAAAUACUUUUUGUGGGAUAGGGAAAAAAACUGGAUUAAUAUGAAGAUGUGCUCACCAAGGGAGGUAGGAGGCUUGGCUUUACCAGAUGUUAAGUUGUACAGUCUAUAAUUUGAAAUGGCUAAAUUGGGGCAAAAGGGAUUCUGGCUUGGAUUGGAUAACAAAAGAACGGGAAUUAAGUUAUCCUUUCACUCCUGUUGAUACUCUGUCACGUAGUCUUACAGGGGGAGAGGUCUGUUGAUACUCUGUCACGUAGUCUUACAGGGCAGAGGUCUGUUGAUACUCUGUCACAUAGUCCUACAGGGGAGAGGUCUGUUGAUACUCUGUCACAUAGUCCUACAGGGGAGAGGUCUGUUGAUACUCUGUUA
ensembl:lncRNA